CUGUAUUGGGUUGGCUCAAUCCAAGAAAUAGUACCGAGAAAAAUGCAAGAAGUGCAGUCGUUCAGCGCGACUAGUCCUUGUGUUGACCUUUGAGGCUCCUGAUGGCAAGCAUGUUUGGCACUUACUAAAAAAAUGUAUGAAAAUGAAGACACUUGCAUUUGUACCCACAAGCAGCAUUGCAACGAGCUGUGAGUUCUUGCGGCUGGCUCCUACGAUUGUCACUGCAAGUCAUGCUCUUCAUUGCGUGAAGCAGCCGAGCACAAGUGCACAAAAAGAAUAAAGGUGCGGAGAUGAAGAGCUCACUUUUCCUAAUCCGUGGAGUUCAUUUCUCCUAAUUCGUGAGUUUCAUGUGCAUAAAUGUAGCUACACUGGGGGUUCACUCGCGUAUCCUUGACAGUCCAGCGGGCUUCAAAUCGCUCUCUACAGCUCCAUCUUUAGGCAAGUUCAUUUGUACGGUGCACAUAAUAGCUUCGUGUUAGCCUGCAAACAUUGCCGUCUCAGGCUGUGAGGAAGUUGUAAAUAAUUGCUUGCUCUAGACCAAUCAGGAAAACUCAACAACACACGUGCUGGAGAUUGUUGGUGGAUUAUUUCUCAACGACGCCUUAGUGGCAGUUGGAUAGCACAGGGUUAAAAAAAUCCAGGAGGAUUCUACUUGAGUCCAGUAUUGUGGCUCGGCUAUACGGAGCAACAAUUCACUUCUCAGGCAACAACACUUCGCUUCCCAGGCAACAACAGCUUGCUUCCCACAGAGUAGCAGUUUGCCCCGGUACACACACUGAAGCUCCUAGCCUGCUGCAUCAUCGAAGCCAUCCAGCUCGAUAAACCCGUGCUUAGCUAGCUUGUUUGAUAGUCACUGUCGCCCACAGAGGGAGUUCAGUGUCCACCACCGAGGGAAUUCACAUCGCUAUUGCCGCAAGCAUGUGCAGCUCCAUCCCCCGUAGUGUGAAAAUUGUGCACAUGAGAUUGAACUACACCAACUUCUGAACUGCAAAAGGUGGCUGCUUGUGUAUUUCGACAUGAUGAUUUGUGAACUGCCCGCUAUAUGACUUCCAA